CUCAUGGGACUGUGAGGAUUACACAGACCUGUCAAUCUAGUCUUGUAAUGGGCCCUUGAGUGCUUGAUAAAGGUGUUCACUUUCCAAAAAGUGGGCAGAGGAUGGCAAAGGAGUUCAUGUGAGCAGAUUCCGAACUGCAUAGUAUAAUAAGGAAGCCAGUAAGCACAUGGGACUAUUGAGCGCUUGAAAUGCGGCCAGUCCAAAUGAGGUGUGCUCUAAGUAGAAAGACACAUUGCAGUUUGAAGACUUGGCAUGAAAAAAGGAUGCUGAAAAUGAAUCUCAGAAUUGUUAAAUAGUUUACCAAAGAUGGAAACUAUGGAGAAGUGGAAGAGUCAUAUGAGACAUGGUGAAUACAUAUGUUUCAUUGGAAUUCCAGAAGAUGAGAGAGAAGAAAAUGGAGCAGAAGCCACAUUUGAAGUGACUUUCCAAAUAUAAUGAAAGACACCACGUGUAAUUAACCAAUAAAGUGAACCCAAAGAAAACCA